GUCCUUCCUGUCUUGUGCGAAUCGGCGGAGUCGUUGUUUGAUAGGCUUGGCAUCUUCUUUGACAUGUAAGGAGUGCUCAAUCACCUCUCUAGGAAUACCGGGCAUAUCAGAUGGUUUCCACGCAAAGAUAUCUUUAUUGUUCUGAAGAAAGGUGAUGAGCGCGCUUUCCUAUUUACAAUCUAACUCGGCGCCUAUUACAGCAGUUUU
rnacentral:misc_RNA from 1 species